rnacentral:tRNA from 2 species
GCGGGAAUAGCUCAGUUGGUAGAGCGCAACCUUGCCAAGGUUGAGGUCGCGGGUCCGAGUCCCGUUUCCCGCU